GCAGUGGUGGCUCAGUGGUUAAAGGUUCUGAUUUAAUGAUCAGAAGGUCAGAAGUUAAAGCCACAGGUUCAAGCCCCUACCACUGUU